AGUGAACGCUGGCGGUAGGCCUAACGCAUGCAAGUCGAACGGCAGCACAGUAAGAGCUUGCUCUUACGGGUGGCGAGUGGCGGACGGGUGAGGAAUACAUCGGAAUCUACUUUUUCGUGGGGGAUAACGUAGGGAAACUUACGCUAAUACCGCAUACGACCUACGGGUGAAAGCAGGGGAUCUUCGGACCUUGCGCGAUUGAAUGAGCCGAUGUCGGAUUAGCUAGUUGGCGGGGUAAAGGCCCACCAAGGCGACGAUCCGUAGCUGGUCUGAGAGGAUGAGCAGCCACACUGGAACUGAGACACGGUCCAGACUCCUACGGGAGGCAGCAGUGGGGAAUAUUGGACAAUGGGCGCAAGCCUGAUCCAGCCAUACCGCGUGGGUGAAGAAGGCCUUCGGGUUGGAAAGCCCUUUUGUUGGGAAAGAAAAGCAGCAGGUUAAUACCCCGCUGUUCUGACGGUACCCAAAGAAUAAGCACCGGCUAACUUCGUG
rnacentral:rRNA from 1 species